rnacentral:lncRNA from 1 species
ACCGUGAUCCAAUCAAAAUAUUAAAUUCUUCUUUCAUCUUUGCAAUUUUAUCAUAAUAAUAAAAACAUCCAUAAAAAAAAACAUACAAACACACAUACACUUUUAAUAUAUUUUUUUCUUUUUCUUUUCUUUUCCUUUUUUUUUUUGUUACAUCCACACUACAAAUAAUACAAAUUCAAAAACCACUAAACAAAAAUUACAUUACACUUUGGAAAUUACAAAAACAGCCUCUAAAAAAUCCUGGAAUUUGCUGGGAACGUUUCUGUGAAGCCAUGGACACCAGGAACAGUGGCGGCGCGUCCUCUCCACGUGCCACCGCCACUGGCGGCGCGUGGGUUCACGCGCCGCCGCAAGCAAAAAACAGGAGACAGAGUGGAUUAGGCUCGGCUUCUCUCCUUCUUCCUCUCCUCGCCGACGGUGAAGACCACCGUCACCUGCAACCAAAAGAAAACGCACAAGCAGUCUGUUUUAGUUAAAUUUUUAGAUCUGUUUUCCUCUGCUUUCCAUCAUUAUCUGCUUCACUUUCUUCUUUCUCAGGUCUGUUCUUGGGGCUUUGCCGUCUUCUCCUCUGCUUCAGGUAAUUGGGCGGCGGCUGGUGGAGAUCUGGAUCGGUCUGUGAUGGUUGCGGGUCGUCGCUGCUGGUUGAAGAAGGCCAGCAGCUCUGGCGAAUGAGGAAGUGAUGGCACCUGUGGGCGUGCUGCUGGAGAAGGGGUGUUGCUGGAAGCCGGUUUGUGGACGGCGCUGAUGGCUGACGGUGUGGACGGCGUUAGAGGGGGAAGGGGAGCGUGAAGGCUCUCUGGUUUGGGAAAACCGAUGGGUCGGCUGAGAAAAUGAAAAAUGGUUUUGGGGGCUGUGAGAGGAGAAGGGGAGCUCUCUCCUGUCCAGCGUGUGGCUGAGGGGAGAGGAAAGGAACGGCUGGGGAUUGGAGAGUGAGGGAGGAACGACUGAGAGAUUGUGUGGCUUUGUGAGGGAUGGAUAAUCAACCGGCUGAGGGGAAGAAGAAAUUCAAGCCGGGGGGCUGCAGUUUGGCCGAUGUGAAAAAAAAAAGGCAAAGGGUGGGGCGCGGCUUGUCUUGGCUUCAAGAGAAGAAGACUCGGGGAGAAAAAAUCAAACCAGCUGGGGGGAGAGGGACGACAGGCUUGAUAGGUUUAGGGUUAGGUUGUUUCCCCUUUCUUUUUUUUGUAUUUUUUCUUUCAAAAUUGCCCCCCUUGUGCAAGUGUUGAAAACUCCUAUUUAUAGGCAAAUAUAUUGCUAGG